UGACAGCUGCACCGUUGUCAUGGCAUCAAGCUCGUACAUUUAAAAGGAGGAUCAGCUGACGACCUGCAGCUCGACAGGAAAGCUCUCCUACCGUUCCACUGACACGGAGGCUCAGGUCACCAGAUCCCCCCUCAUCUUCUGUUAACAGGUCACAGCAGCGACGACGUGACGGUGUCGUUUUCCUCCAAACAGCAGCAGAACAUUGGUGCAACAGGGAGUCAAAAUGGUCAUUCCCUUUCCGUCACACAUCUAAUGCCGGGAUAACCAAAGAGGUGUGUUGUUCCCAAAUUCACAAAGGAACCCUUGAUUCUUCACAGCUCCUCCUGGUCCGUCUUGACCCCAAAGCGGUUGCCGGUUCCUCCAGAGAUGCUAGGCGUGUGGCUGACCUUCCUCACCCCGCUGAUCUGAGUCAUCAUCCCACCCUGCUGCUGCUGCUGUUGGUGGUGGUGCUGCUGCUGCUGGCCCUGCCUCCUCUUCCUUUCCCUUGAUUUAGGGACCGGACACGGGAGCUCCAACUCAUUCUGCUUGUCUGAAAGGAAACAAAAACAGAAAAAGGAGGAUUUAAAAAAGUGUCUUCAGUUGCUCCAGAGACAAAAACCAACCAGGUUAAGGGAUGCUGGACUGUCUCUUGAACACCACGAGUUAACACGUGGAGACAGUUGACCUCUCACACCUAUGUGACAACACAUUGAAGCUGCACUAACACUUAUUUAAUUAGCAAACAGUCUUUCACUUACUGUUUACUCUGCUGAAAAUAAAUGUCAGCUGACAGAAAAAUCUCAGCUUAUGUAACUACAUAUUCAAAGACUGUUAAAGAGAGAGCAGUUUGGAAGAUUUUACACUGCCAUGAAUAUAUUCAACUCUAACCAACACAGACUAGUCAAUACAUUUGAAAUAGGAGGGGAGGGGAGGGGGGAUUUUUGCUGCAAAACCUCCAGCAGAUGUCUGGUUUUUGGGCUGCUCUUGUUUGUUAAUCAAAUAGUAAACAUCAUAAAUACGUCACUUGGAUUUGAUUUCCAGCUUGUGAAAUGUGGGAAAGUUCAGCACCCUGCAUGAAAUCUGAAAAAAAAAUCUCCAGCAGCCCGUGCAUUCGGGGAAACUGAACCACGUUGCGACAACAACCCCCAGAAACGUGGAAACCUGGCUCAUUACGCCUGAAUGACGUGCAAGGAUGCGGGUGUGCUUUGGUGCAUGUCACAAACUCCUGCAGCUGACAGUGUGCAAGACUCCCCCAGUGUGUAUUUGUGCACCGUACACACACACACACAUACACACACACACACACCGCAGCGAGACUAAAAAAAAUGUAUCAGAGCUGCAUCCUCAACAGAGCACAAGAAGAAAGUGAUCUCACUCCACCUGACAGGUGUUAAGCUGCAAUGCAGACGACAAUAA